rnacentral:rRNA from 1 species
UGCCGCGUGCAGGAUGACGGCCCUAUGGGUUGUAAACUGCUUUUGUAUGGGAAUAAACCCUUCUACGUGUAGAAGGCUGAAGGUACCAUAAGAAUAAGCACCGGCUAACUCCGUGCCAGCAGCCGCGGUAAUACGGAGGGUGCAAGCGUUAUCCGGAUUUAUUGGGUUUAAAGGGUCCGUAGGCGGGCCGAUAAGUCAGUGGUGAAAGCCCAUAGCUCAACUAUGGAACUGCCAUUGAUACUGUCGGUCUUGAGUAUAUGUGAUGUUGGCGGAAUGUGUAGUGUAGCGGUGAAAUGCUUAGAUAUUACACAGAACACCGAUUGCGAAGGCAGCUGACUAAUAUAUAACUGACGCUGAGGGACGAAAGUGUGGGGAUCAAACAGGAUUAGAUACCCCUGGUAGUCCACACCGUAAACGAUGAUUACUAGAUUUUGGCCUUAUGGUCAGAGUC